GACGAACGCUGGCGGCGUGCUUAACACAUGCAAGUCGAACGGAAAGGCCCUGCUUUUGUGGGGUGCUCGAGUGGCGAACGGGUGAGUAACACGUGAGUAACCUGCCCUUGACUUUGGGAUAACUUCAGGAAACUGGGGCUAAUACCGGAUAGGAGCUCCUGCUGCAUGGUGGGGGUUGGAAAGUUUCGGCGGUUGGGGAUGGACUCGCGGCUUAUCAGCUUGUUGGUGGGGUAGUGGCUUACCAAGGCUUUGACGGGUAGCCGGCCUGAGAGGGUGACCGGCGACAAUGGGACUGAGAGACGGCCCAGACUGCUACGGGAGGCAGCAGGGGGGAAUAUUGCACAAUGGGCGGAAGCCUGAUGCAGCAACGCCGCGUGCGGGAUGACGGCCUUCGGGUUGUAAACCGCUUUCGCCUGUGACGAAGCGUGAGUGACGGUAAUGGGUAAAGAAGCACCGGCUAACUACGUG
rnacentral:rRNA from 1 species